ensembl:snRNA U6 U6 spliceosomal RNA
GUGCUGGCUUCGGCAGCACAUAUACUAAAAUUAGAACGAUAUAGAGAAGAUUAGCAUGGCCCUUGCGCAAGGAUGACGUGCAAAUUCGUGAAGCGUUCUAUGUUUUU